AUGCCGAGGUGCUGGAUCACUACCUACGCCAUGCUCACUCCUUCGCCGCUCCCACAUUCCAAUUCGUUUGCCGCUAGCCAUGCCGAGGUGUUAGAUCACUACGUACACCAUGCCCAUGCUGAAGCGGCGGCUCGAGCUCACUUGAGCAAAUCAAGGCUAGACACGAUGCCCGGAUCAUGGUCGGCCUACCUCCGGACUAGCCAAAGCCGCAGGAGGAGGACUCCAAAGGAGGACACAAGCAAGGCGGAUCCAGCUGCGAGCUUCGCCAUGCCCAAGGCGUUGGCAGAGUUUGAGAUGGCCCAAACGGAGGAGGUGGCAGAGCAGCAAGCCAUCCUCGACUCCAUCCAUUCAGAGGCGGAGGCCAACCACCACCUCCUCCACCAGGUGGACGCCGACAUGCAGUGCGCCAGUCCAGCAAAUGAUCGAUGA
rnacentral:rRNA from 1 species